UACGUAGGGUGCAAGCGUUUAAUCGGAAUUACUGGGCGUAAAGCGUGCGCAGGCGGUUUUCUAAGUCAGCUGUGAAAUCCCCGGGCUCAACCUGGGACUUGCAGUUGAAACUGGAAAGCUAGAGUAGGGUAGAGGGGUGUGGAAUUCCAGGUGUAGCGGUGAAAUGCGUAGAUAUCUGGAGGAACAUCAGUGGCGAAGGCGACACCCUGGACUCAUACUGACACUGAGGUGCGAAAGCGUGGGGAGCAAACAGG
rnacentral:rRNA from 1 species